UACGAAGGGGGCGAGCGUUGUUCGGAUUUACUGGGCGUAAAGGGCGCGCAGGCGGUCUUGAAAGUCAGGCGUGAAAGCCCCGGGCUUAACCUGGGAAUUGCGCUUGAUACUCUGAGACUGGAGUACGGGAGAGGAGAGUGGAAUUCCCAGUGUAGAGGUGAAAUUCGUAGAUAUUGGGAAGAACACCAGUGACGAAGGCGGCUCUCUGGACCGUAACUGACGCUGAGGCGCGAAAGCGUGGGGAGCAAACAGG
rnacentral:rRNA from 1 species